AACGAACGCUGGCGGCGCGUCUUAAGCAUGCAAGUCGAACGAAUGGCCACCCUCGGGUGGUCGGAAGUGGCGGACGGGUGAGUAACACGUGGGUAAUCUGCCCUCCGGUGGGGAAUAGCACAUGGAAACAUGUGAUAAUACCGCAUGAUACGGUCCUGCACAUGCAGGAUCGGGAAAGCUCCUGCGGGAGCGCCGGGGGAUGAGCCUGCGGCCCAUUAGCUGGUUGGCGGGGUAAAGGCCCACCAAGGCGACGAUGGGUAGCCGGACUGAGAGGUUGAACGGCCACAUUGGGGAUUGAGAACGGGCCCAGACUCCUACGGGAGGCAGCAGCUAAGAAUCUUCCACAAUGGACGGAAGUCUGAUGGGAGCGACGCCGCGUGGACGAUGAAGGCCGUGAGGUUGUAAAGUCCUUUUCGGGAGG
rnacentral:rRNA from 1 species